CCUACGGGAGGCAGCAGUGAGGAAUAUUGGUCAAUGGGCUUACGCCUGAACCAGCCAAGUCGCGUGAGGGAAGACUGCCCUAUGGGUUGUAAACCUCUUUUGUCAGGGAGCAACGCCGGCUACGUGUAGCCUGACUGAGAGUACCUGAAGAAAAAGCAUCGGCUAACUCCGUGCCAGCAGCCGCGGUAAUACGGAGGAUUCGAGCGUUAUCCGGCUUUAUUGGGUUUAAAGGGUGCGUAGGCGGAAUGCCAAGUCAGCGGUAAAAUCGCGGGGCUCAACCUCGCUCCGCCGUUGAAACUGGCGUUCUUGAGUGGGCGAGAAGUAUGCGGAAUGCGUGGUGUAGCGGUGAAAUGCAUAGAUAUCACGCAGAACUCCGAUUGCGAAGGCAGCAUACCGGCGCCCAACUGACGCUGAAGCACGAAAGCGUGGGUAUCGAACAGGAUUAGAUACCCCAGUAGUC
rnacentral:rRNA from 1 species